CUUGCUCCUUUGACGUUAGCGGCGGACGGGUGAGUAACACGUGGGUAACCUACCUAUAAGACUGGAAUAACUCCGGGAAACCGGGGCUAAUGCCGGAUAACAUUUAGAACCGCAUGGUUCUAAAGUGAAAGAUGGUUUUGCUAUCACUUAUAGAUGGACCCGCGCCGUAUUAGCUAGUUGGUAAGGUAACGGCUUACCAAGGCAACGAUACGUAGCCGACCUGAGAGGGUGAUCGGCCACACUGGAACUGAGACACGGUCCAGACUCCUACGGGAGGCAGCAGUAGGGAAUCUUCCGCAAUGGGCGAAAGCCUGACGGAGCAACGCCGCGUGAGUGAUGAAGGUCUUCGGAUCGUAAAACUCUGUUAUUAGGGAAGAACAAAUGUGUAAGUAACUGUGCACGUCUUGACGGUACCUAAUCAGAAAGCCACGGCUAACUACGUGCCAGCAGCCGCGGUAAUACGUAGGUGGCAAGCGUUAUCCGGAAUUAUUGGGCGUAAAGCGCGCGUAGGCGGUUUCUUAAAGUCUGAUGUGAAAAGCCCACGGCUCAACCGUGGAGGGUCAUUGGAAACUGGGGAAACUUGAGUGCAGAAGAGGAAAGUGGAAUUUCCAUGUGUAGCGGGUGAAAUGCCGCAGAGAUAUGGAAGGAACACCAGUUGGGCGAAAGGCGACUUUCUGGUCUGUUAACUGA
rnacentral:rRNA from 1 species